rnacentral:rRNA from 1 species
UGGGGAAUAUUGGGCAAUGGGCGCAAGCCUGACCCAGCAACGCCGCGUGAGGGAAGAAGGCUUUCGGGUUGUAAACCUCUGUCCUUGGUGACGAAACAAAUGACGGUAGCCAAGGAGGAAGCCCCGGCUAACUACGUGCCAGCAGCCGCGGUAAUACGUAGGGGGCGAGCGUUGUCCGGAAUUACGGGGCGUAAAGGGUGCGUAGGUGGCCUUUUAAGUUGGAGGUGAAAUACCCGGGCGUAACUUGGGGGGUGCAUCUAAUACUGGAGGGCUAGAGUGCAGGAGAGG